AGUGAACGCUGGCGGUAGGCCUAACACAUGCAAGUCGAACGGCAGCACAGUAAGAGCUUGCUCUUACGGGUGGCGAGUGGCGGACGGGUGAGGAAUACAUCGGAAUCUACUUUUUCGUGGGGGAUAACGUAGGGAAACUUACGCUAAUACCGCAUACGACCUACGGGUGAAAGCAGGGGAUCUUCGGACCUUGCGCGAUUGAAUGAGCCGAUGUCGGAUUAGCUAGUUGGCGGGGUAAAGGCCCACCAAGGCGACGAUCCGUAGCUGGUCUGAGAGGAUGAUCAGCCACACUGGAACUGAGGCACGGUCCAGACUCCUACGGGAGGCAGCAGUGGGGAAUAUUGGACAAUGGGCGCAAGCCUGAUCCAGCCAUACCGCGUGGGUGAAGAAGGCCUUCGGGUUGUAAAGCCCUUUUGUUGGGAAAGAAAAGCAGCAGGUUAAUACCCCGCUGUUCUGACGGUACCCAAAGAAUAAGCGCCGGCUAACUUCGUG
rnacentral:rRNA from 1 species